GCACUGCCAAUAAAGACAAGAAUAAGAUUGCUAAGAGAUUGAUAUAAAAAAAUUAAAAGAAAGUACCCUGACUGAUCUGCUGAAGAUCAGUCUUUUAACCCUCUUGAAGCCUUUGAAAAAAAAACUACACCAGAAUUCGCUUACCAACUGGCAGGAGCGUCCUUUGCCAGAGUCGUUGUCUGUCUUGAGUGGUUGUUCUCGCUGCUCAGAGUAUCAUUAUUUUGCCUCAUCGGCAGAGGAAGAGAAGAAGAAGGGGAAAGGAGAUGUGAUGGAGGCCAGCAGGCCUUGCCGGAAAAAAUAGAGAGAACGAAGGGGAAGGAGAAAUAGAGGCGACAGAAUUUUGAAAGGAAAGGAAGAAGGGGGAAAGAAAGAGGCUGCCAGCACCUGCUGGCUCACGCCGGAAGGAAAUGGAGAAGAGAGGGGGUGGCGUGGAAGCUGCUGGCUGGCGUUGUUUGUCGCAGCUGCAUGCUGCUGUUGCCAGUGUUAAUGGCCGGUGGAGCCUGCUGGUGUCGU
rnacentral:misc_RNA from 1 species